rnacentral:rRNA from 1 species
UCGAGCGGAGGAUGAUUGAAGAAUUCUCGGAUAUCAUCUUCAGCGGCGGACGGGUGAGUAACGCGUGGGCAACCUGCCUCGGAGAGGGGGAUAACAGGAUGAAAAUCCUGCUAAUACCGCAUGACGAGAGCUGAACGCAUGUUCGGUUCUCCAAAGGAGAAAUCCGCUCUGAGAUGGGCCCGCGUCUGAUUAGCUAGUUGGUGAGGUAACGGCUCACCAAGGCUGCGAUCAGUAGCCGACCUGAGAGGGUGAUCGGCCACACUGGAACUGAGACACGGUCCAGACUCCUACGGGAGGCAGCAGUGGGGAAUAUUGCGCAAUGGGGGAAACCCUGACGCAGCAACGCCGCGUGGAGGAAGAAGGUCUUCGGAUUGUAAACUCCUGUCUUUUGGGACGAAGAAUGACGGUACCAAAGGAGGAAGCCACGGCUAACUACGUGCCAGCAGCCGCGGUAAUACGUAGGUGGCGAGCGUUGUCCGGAAUUAUUGGGCGUAAAGGGCGCGUAGGCGGCACUUUAAGUCAGAUGUGAAAACCCGAGGCUCAACUUCGGGAAUGCAUUUGAAACUGGGGUGCUAGAGUGCAGGAGAGGAAAGCGGAAUUCCUAGUGUAGCGGUGAAAUGCGUAGAUAUUAGGAGGAACACCAGUGGCGAAGGCGGCUUUCUGGACUGUAACUGACGCUGAGGCGCGAAAGCGUGGGGAGCAAACAGGAUUAGAUACCCUGGUAGUCCACGCUGUAAACGAUGGAUACUAGGUGUGGGAGGUAUCGACCCCUUCCGUGCCGCAGUAAACGCAAUAAGUAUC